GUGGGGAAUCUUAGACAAUGGGCGCAAGCCUGAUCUAGCCAUGCCGCGUGAGCGAUGAAGGCCUUAGGGUUGUAAAGCUCUUUCGUGGGGGAAGAUAAUGACUGUACCCCAAGAAGAAGCCCCGGCUAACUCCGUGCCAGCAGCCGCGGUAAUACGGAGGGGGCUAGCGUUGUUCGGAAUUACUGGGCGUAAAGCGCACGUAGGCGGACUGGAAAGUCAGGGGUGAAAUCCCGGGGCUCAACCCCGGAACUGCCUUUGAAACUCCCAGUCUUGAGUGCGAGAGAGGUGAGUGGAAUUCCGAGGGUAGAGGUGAAAUUCGUAGAUAUUCGGAGGAACACCAGUGGCGAAGGCGGCUCACUGGCUCGAUACUGACGCUGAGGUGCGAAAGCGUGGGGAGCAAACAGGAUUAGAUACCCUAGUAGUCC
rnacentral:rRNA from 1 species